rnacentral:misc_RNA from 1 species
CUUUAACCACCAUAACAGCCGCUUCUACUCCCUCAAGGACCGCCUCAUCCGCCACGUCGAUGCCGGCCAGCUCCGCGAAGCAAUCUCAAUCCUCGAUAUCAUGUCCCAAGAAGGGACUCAUCCAGACCUCAUCACCUACUCCCUUCUUCUCAAAUCCUGCAUCCGUGCAAAUAAUUUCCAACUGGGUAAACUCCUCCAUGA